rnacentral:rRNA from 1 species
AGUCCAAGGAACUCAAGUCUUAGAUAACUCCUGCUCAAUGAUUUAAAUUAAAUGGCUGCAGUAAAUUAACUGUACUAAGGUAGCAUAAUCAAUUGCUUCCUGAUUAGAAGCUGGAAUGAACGGAACAAUGAGAAACUAACUCUUUAAAAUUAACAGGUAAAAAUUAAUAUUUGAGUGAAAAAUCUCAAAUCCCAUCAAAAGACAAGAAGACCCUUUAGAAUUUAAUAACUCACUAUUUAUAAAAAUAUCUGUACUUAUUUAAUUGGGGAGAUUGAAAGAUAUUUUAACCUCUUUUUAUUAAAUAAAUACUGAAAGUAAGUUAAAUUAUCCACCCACGAAAUAAAACUAAUUACCUAAGGGAUAACAGCGUAAAAUUUUUAGAAAGAUCCCAUUGAUAAAAUAAAUUACGACCUCGAUGUUGGAUUAAGAAUACUCUAUAAAGAAGAAUUUAUAGAAAACGGUCUGUUCGACCGAUGAAUUCUUACAUGAUCU